rnacentral:tRNA from 1 species
GGAAGGAUGGCCGAGUGGACGAAGGCGCGCGUCUGGAGAGCGCGUGAGCAGUAAUGCUCCGUGGGUUCGAAUCCCACUCCUUCCG